CGCCUCCCGCAAAAAUCAAUGUAUAGGAGGUCUUGCCUGCCCAGUGACUGUAAGUUAAACGGCCGCGGUAUUUUGACCGUGCAAAGGUAGCGCAAUCACUUGUCUUUUAAAUGAAGACCUGUAUGAAUGGUGAAACGAGGGCUUAACUGUCUCCCCCCUCUAGUCAAUGAAAUUGAUCUAUCCGUGCAGAAGCGGGUAUAAUUAUACAAGACGAGAAGACCCUUUGGAGCUUAAGACAAAAGACCAACUAUGUCAAAAGCCACAAAAAAUGGUACUAAACCAAAUAGUGCUGGUUCCAGUCUUCGGUUGGGGUGACCGCGGGAGAAAACAAAGCUCCCACGCGGACGGGGGAGUUCCCCUAAAACUAAGAAAGACAUUUCUAAGGCACAGAACAUCUGACCAUAAAGAUCCGGCUUAUUGCCGAUCAACGGACCAAGUUACCCUAGGGAUAACAGCGCAAUCCCCUUCCAGAGUCCAUAUCGACAAGGGGGUUUACGACCUCGAUGUUGGAUCAGGACAUCCUAAUGGUGCAGCCGCUAUUAAGGGUUCGUUUGUUCAACGAUUAAAGUCCU
rnacentral:rRNA from 1 species